CUCCAGUCUCUCCAGGAGGCGUGGGGAAAGUCGGCUGCUGCCUUGCACAGCUCUGCUGUCCCGCUCAGGGUUGUAUUUGAUUCAUGUUUAUAUUUAUUCACUAGCUCUCUAUUAACAGGCCUUGUUGUCAAGUCUUGGAAACUUGGAGGGAAGCCAGCUCGAAACUUGCACACGUCUUUCUUGUACUGAGAUCUUCUUGGGUGCUGAAAGAGAACUGGAAGAAGUGGGAGCUCAGACCACACGAAAGAUUUG